GACGAACGCUGGCGGCGUGCCUAACACAUGCAAGUCGAGCGAAUGAAGUUCCUUCGGGAAUGGAUUUAGCGGCGGACGGGUGAGUAACACGUGGGCAACCUGCCUCAUAGAGGGGAAUAGCCCCCCGAAAGGGAGAUUAAUACCGCAUAAGAUUGUAGUACCGCAUGAUACAGCAAUUAAAGGAGCAAUCCGCUAUGAGAUGGGCCCGCGGCGCAUUAGCUAGUUGGUGAGGUAAUGGCUCACCAAGGCGACGAUGCGUAGCCGACCUGAGAGGGUGAUCGGCCACAUUGGGACUGAGACACGGCCCAGACUCCUACGGGAGGCAGCAGUGGGGAAUAUUGCACAAUGGGGGAAACCCUGAUGCAGCAACGCCGCGUGAGUGAUGACGGCCUUCGGGUUGUAAAGCUCUGUCUUCAGGGACGAUAAUGACGGUACCUGAGGAGGAAGCCACGGCUAACUACGUG
rnacentral:rRNA from 1 species